rnacentral:rRNA from 1 species
AGUAAUGUAUGGGGAUCUGCCCGAUAGAGGGGAAUAACUACUGGAAACGGUGGCUAAUACCGCAUAAUGUCUACGGCCCAAAGCAGGGGCUCUUCGGACCUUGCACUAUCGGAUGAACCCAUAUGGGAUUAGCUAGUAGGUGGGGUAAAGGCUCACCUAGGCGACGAUCUCUAGCUGGUCUGAGAGGAUGAUCAGCCACACUGGGACUGAGACACGGCCCAG